GCGGGAGGGGGCGCGCCUCAUGCCGCCGCAGCAGCAGAUCUCCCCGCUUUGUGCGGCCGCGCGGCCCGGAGAGCCCCCUCCUCCCGGCCCGGCUGACCGCCCCGCUCGGCCUGGCCUUCCCGGCCACGAAAGACGAGGGUUGGGGGCAUAGCAGGGAGGCCCUCCGCCUGCCCUACUGAGCGAACCUUUAAGCCCCCAAGCCAGUGUUUUUGGAAAGAGAGUGGUCAAUUUCAGGAGGACAUUAAAAGCCAACCUCCCGGGCUUCAGCCCCAGCUCCUACUGCCUUCCAGCCACUCUCCCCUGCCUUUCCUUUCUGCGGCUCUUAGGAUGUUGUUGCUGCCCUUAAAGGCCGUCGUGUGAGUGCCCUGUCAGAAGAAAGCUUGGUGGUGGUUAGGAUUUUACAGAAGGUAAUUAGGAUUUAGGCUGAAUGUACAUUUGCAAUAAAAUAAGGUUGUGUUAGUGUUGUGCUGGUGCCUGCAACUUUACCUCUUGCCAAGGCCAGAAAAUUCUGCCACGUUUCCCUAAACACCUAUAACUUGGCCCUCU
rnacentral:lncRNA from 1 species